AAAAAUUUUCAAAAAACAACUCGUAUAAUUUCGGAAAUAUGGUCCGAAAGUUUCUACCAAACGACCGUAAAUCGUUUGACUACGGGGGAUCGCUCCUCGUAU
rfam:Anoxybacillus flavithermus WK1, complete genome.